rnacentral:lncRNA from 1 species
CACAGGAAACAAAAGUUCCACAGUGUUUCAUAAUCUUAGGACAAACACCAUCUGAGUUACUUACAGUUCCUUGAUGAGGAAUCUUUUCCUACGAGGAUUCACUGGCCAGGCCCAAGUUGGCUAUGUCUCCUCCUGGUUUUGUCGCUUUGCUCAUACGAUUUGUUUGCACUUUUGCCUAUUAUGAGCUUAGCCAUCUCCUGAUUUGGCGAAUUCUCAGCCCUUAGAACCAGUCAGUCUCUACAGAGGAUCCCGUGAGGCUUCCUGAUCUGGCCACUAACUGUUGGCGUUCAACUCCAGCAAUGACAUGCCAGGCUGAAGCUUAAUUCUUUAGAAUAUUUUUUUUGGCUCGCUUAUGGCUCAGCUUCCUCUGUUCAUCAGGGAGAGGUAUCUCUGAGGCUUCUCAGGGAGAUACCACUCCUAUCAUCAACUUUGGGAUUCAGGGUCUGUCCUGGGCCCCAGGAAAGCCCUCUGACCUAUCCCUGAUUCAGGCAAGCGCUCAUGUCUUAGCCCUCAUCGGUGUCUUUUUCUUUCUCUCUGUAGGUCAGUUUGUAUCUGUUAAUAAGAGACUAUGUCUUGUUUGCUCAGUGUCUAAAUAAAGAUUAUUUGGGUAAAAGGAACAGAUAUUCCAACCUCCAUCCCACUCCUUGCUUAAACAGAGGGAUUUAUUAUACAAUGUCAAAGGAAAAUCUCUUGGACAUCCAAGCACAAGACAAAAAGUGCAGCCGGCCUGAAAACACAACUGGAAUAUUGGAACAGAGACUGCCCUCUCCAGUUGCUUUCAAUUACAAAUCAUCCUGGCAUUGGUUCAAAGUGCCCCAACAGCCCCUGGAGCCCUGCGGCUGGGCAGAGCGGCCCACGUGGCUUUUUCGAUCUCCAGGGUGUGACAACGUCGCUGUGGCCUUGGCAGUGAUGGAGGAGGGGCGCUGGGAACACGCUGGAAGACAGGCAUCGUACUGAAAUCAAAUUUACCAGCACACGUAUUCUUGGGUCUUUGUGCAGGUAUGUUGACAGCGCUGAGCUGGCAGUGGGGUGGGGAGCGCUCCCUGACGCCAGGCCCUAUGUGCCAGUCCCACACGAAUCAUUUGGACGUUGGGGGAGGCAGAGAAAAGUAAAUCAUUAUUCCUGAGUUCCAGGCAGUGGGCGAAGCAAACACUAGAGGAAGAUAAUAUGCUACAAUACAGGCUUUGCUCAGAUCUUCCAGAACAUUCCUCAGAGCAGAGAGGUAGGUGUAGUGGCCCAGCUGCGUGGAACUGUUCCUGCAGGGCAGUGGGAGAACCAGGCAGGAGGACUGACCUCCGAGUCCCGGGGAGAAAGCUCAGGAAGUGAUGGGAGUCUGCAGUUUAGCGCCCAGGGGUCGAUGGAAUCUGAUGGAAACAAAGGGUCUGUGGGAAGGGC